AAAAAAAGAAAGUAAAGAUCGCAGUAGCGCAAACAAAUGUGUCAUUGGAAAAAAAAGCAGGACAAAGCGAGGUCAGAAAUAAAAGACAGAGUAGAAAACAAAGUAAAACGUCAUAAAGAGGUUAAAAAACAAGGGGGCCAAACACAUGCAGAGCAGGUUAGAGAUAAUGAAAACAG